rnacentral:rRNA from 1 species
GACGAACGCUGGCGGCGUGCUUAACACAUGCAAGUCGAACGGAAAGGCCCUGCUUUUGUGGGGUGCUCGAGUGGCGAACGGGUGAGUAACACGUGCGUAACCUGCCCUUGACUUUGGGAUAACUUCAGGAAACUGGGGCUAAUACCGGAUAGGAGCUCCUGCUGCAUGGUGGGGGUUGGAAAGUUUCGGCGGUUGGGGAUGGACUCGCGGCUUAUCAGCUUGUUGGUGGGGUAGUGGCUUACCAAGGCUUUGACGGGUAGCCGGCCUGAGAGGGUGACCGGCCACAGUGGGACUGAGAUACGGCCCAGACUCCUACGGGAGGCAGCAGUGGGGAAUAUUGCACAAUGGGCGGAAGCCUGAUGCAGCAACGCCGCGUGCGGGAUGACGGCCUUCGGGUUGUAAACCGCUUUCGCCUGUGACGAAGCGUGAGUGACGGUAAUGGGUAAAGAAGCACCGGCUAACUACGUG